CACCCAGGAGGAUGUGCGGGGAGGCCCGCCCGCAUGGGGAGAGGGCCAGGCUUUGAACAUGAAGUUGAUCACAUGCAAAUAGCAUGCAAAUAUAUGCAAGCUGGCUUGGGCUGCGGGGCCCACCUCUCUGCCGUCCUCCCUCCUGGGUGAGGGCUGGGGCGGGUUUGCAUCCGGUUCCGCUUGGUGCCUAGGGUGCCUGGGCUCUACUUCAACCUGCCAGUAACGGAGUGAGGGUGGGGCAGUUCUCCACACCACCCUGCCCAAGAGAUGUGACCUAAGAGGACAUGGAGGUACUGGGUGGCAGGAGAGGCGGCUGACCCGCUGAGCAAGGAGUCCCUGUGGCUUGUGAUUUGUGCCUGGUGUCCUCACGAAAAGGUGAAGGAGUGUGUGCCCAGGAUUCUGACAUUCCCUCCUCCCCUGAAGGCUGGGGAGCAGCUGAACACACGUGGCAGACAGGACUCCCAGACCUGGCACGUUGUUUUCGACACAAUGUCUCAUAAAUAACAACUCACUGUGUAGCUGAGGAUGACCUUGACUGCCUCCACCACUCAAGUGCUGGAUUUCAGGGUCUAUAGGUCAGGCUGGUGCCAUACUUGUGACCCUCUUGCCUCAGUCUCCCGAGUGCUGAUAUUAUAGGUGCAUCAACCCAUACGGGACUCGCUCUGAGCUUCCAGGGGUCAGUGGACUCAUAGGGACAGAGGAGUUACUCAGUUCUACAGAAGUUGGCAUUAGGUGGAUGCUGGCAUUAAAGGCAAGAGUCACCACACCAGGCAAGUAGGGGGACAUUUUGUAGGAUCUCUGUCUCCCAGAUACUCACUUUACUCAUAGCUGCUCUGCCCGAGGCCAACUUGGGGUUCUUUUUUUUUUUUUGGUUUUUCGAGACAGGGUUUCUCUGUAUUGCUUUGGAGCCUGUCCUGGAACUGCUCCGUAGACCAGGCUGGCUUCAAACUCAGAGAUCCACCUGCCUCUGCCUCCCGAGUGAUGGACUGGGGGUGGUGGCCCAUGUGGGCCUUUAAUCCCACUCAGGAGACAGAGUCAGGCAGAUUUGGUCUAGAGACCAGGUCAGUCUGGUUUACAUAGUGAAUUCCAAGACAGCAAAGAUGAGAGGAGACCCUUUUUCUAAACAAUAACACCCUUCCCUGAAACAGGAACAGAAACCCAGGUGGAAGAGCUGGGCAAGCCAAACAAUUGUCGGGGAGAGGGGUACCUGAAAGAGUGGUGGAGCCUAUAAUCAAUUCCUUCCAUCAACACCUUUUCUCUUCCUUUUUGGACAAGAUUUCACUUUGCUCAGGCUAGUGUCAGACAUGAUAUUUGGCAGAGGAUAACCUUGAACUUCUGAUACUUCUGGUCCCUCACACUGCAAAUUGGGGGCGGGAGGAGAGGUGGAAAACUGCCAAAGGUGAGGCAGUGGGAAGAAUCUUAGGUGGAGUGGGUAGCUCUUCCCCCAGGUGCAGCAGACCAGGUGCUCGCAUAGUGGCCACCUGCUAGAACACCCUGGUGAUCCUUGCCCUGCUCCUCCACACUCCAGGCUGGGGUGAGGGGACUCUGCGGGAGUUACCCUGGGUGGCCGCACUUUUGGAAGCACAUAGAGUCUACCCAGGCUGGCCU
rnacentral:lncRNA from 1 species